GUUCGGGGGACAGGGUGACAGGUGGUGCAUGGUUGUCGUCAGCUCGUGUCGUGAGAUGUUGGGUUAAGUCCCGCAACGAGCGCAACCCUCGACCUUAGUUGCCAGCAUUCAGUUGGGCACUCUAAGGUGACUGCCGGCUAAAAGUCGGAGGAAGGUGGGGAUGACGUCAAAUCAUCAUGCCCCUUAUGACCUGGGCUACACACGUGCUACAAUGGGCGGUACAAAGGGUCGCGAACCCGCGAGGGGGAGCCAAUCCCAAAAAGCCGCUCUCAGUUCGGAUUGCAGGCUGCAACUCGCCUGCAUGAAGCCGGAAUCGCUAGUAAUCGCGGAUCAGCAUGCCGCGGUGAAUACGUUCCCGGGCCUU
rnacentral:rRNA from 1 species